GCUGAUGCGUUGUUGGGUAGGGGAGCGUUCUGUAAGCCUGCGAAGGUGGCCUGUGAGGGUUGCUGGAGGUAUCAGAAGUGCGAAUGCUGACAUAAGUAACGAUAAAGCGGGUGAAAAGCCCGCUCGCCGGAAGACCAAGGGUUCCUGUCCAACGUUAAUCGGGGCAGGGUGAGUCGACCCCUAAGGCGAGGCCGAAAGGCGUAGUCGAUGGGAAACGGGUUAAUAUUCCCGUACUUGGUGUUACUGCGAAGGGGGGACGGAGAAGGCUAUGUUGGCCGGGCGACGGUUGUCCCGGUUUAAGCGUGUAGGUGUGUGUUCCAGGUAAAUCCGGUUCACUUUAACACUGAGGCGUGA
rnacentral:rRNA from 1 species